UGGGCAAUCUGCCCUUCUCAUCGGAAUAAGCGUUGGAAACGACGUCUAAUGCCGAAUACGACCUCCUUUCGCAUGAUCGGAGGUGGAAAGCUCCGGCGGAGAAGGAUGAGCUCGCGGCCUAUCAGCUAGUUGGUGUGGGUAAUGGCCCACCAAGGCGACGACGGGUAGCCGGCCUGAGAGGGUGACCGGCCACACUGGGACUGAGACACGGCCCAGACCUCCGUACGGGAGNAGCG
rnacentral:rRNA from 1 species